rnacentral:rRNA from 1 species
AGGCGGGCAGUUUGACUGGGGCGGUCGCCUCCUAAAAGGUAACGGAGGCGCUCAAAGGUUCCCUCAGAAUGGUUGGAAAUCAUUCAUAGAGUGUAAAGGCAUAAGGGAGCUUGACUGCGAGACCUACAAGUCGAGCAGGGUCGAAAGACGGACUUAGUGAUCCGGUGGUUCCGCAUGGAAGGGCCAUCGCUCAACGGAUAAAAGCUACCCCGGGGAUAACAGGCUUAUCUCCCCCAAGAGUUCACAUCGACGGGGAGGUUUGGCACCUCGAUGUCGGCUCAUCGCAUCCUGGGGCUGUAGUCGGUCCCAAGGGUUGGGCUGUUCGCCCAUUAAAGCGGUACGCGAGCUGGGUUCAGAACGUCGUGAGACAGUUCGG